rnacentral:rRNA from 1 species
GAUGAACGCUGGCGGCGUGCCUAAGACAUGCAAGUCGAGUGGGUUUAGACCCACGGCGAACGGGUGAGUAAUACCUGGGAACUUCCCUUGAGUCGAGCAUAACCCACCGAAAGGUGGGAUAAUUCUCGAUGUGGCCGCGAGGCUAAAGUCGCAAGACGCUCAAGAAAAGGCCUGGGCACCAUCAGCUAGUUGGUAAGGUAAUGGCUUACCAAGGCGAUGACGGUUAGGGGCCCCGAGAGGGGAGACCCCCACACUGGAACUGCGACACGGUCCAGACUCCUACGGGAGGCAGCAGUUUGGAAUUUUGGACAAUGGGCGAAAGCCUGAUCCAGCGACGCCGCGUGGACGAUGAAGGCCUUCGGGUUGUAAAGUCCUUUUGCUUGGGAAGAAUUUUUGACGGUACCAAGCGAAUAAGAGGUUGCUAACUCUGUGC